AGAGGGGGCAAGCGUUGUUCGGAAUUACUGGGCGUAAAGGGCGCGUAGGCGGCCUUCUAAGUCGAACGUGAAAUCCCCGGGCUCAACCCGGGAACUGCGUCCGAUACUGGAAGGCUUGAAUCCGGGAGAGGGAUGUGGAAUUCCAGGUGUAGCGGUGAAAUGCGUAGAUAUCUGGAGGAACACCGGUGGCGAAGGCGGCAUCCUGGACCGGCAUUGACGCUGAGGCGCGAAAGCCAGGGGAGCAAACGGGAUUAGAUACCCCGGUAGUCCUGGCCCUAAACGAUGAAUGCUUGGUGUGGCGGGUAUCGAUCCCUGCCGUGCCGAAGCUAACGCAUUAAGCAUUCCGCCUGGGGAGUACGGUCGCAAG
rnacentral:rRNA from 1 species